AGAUGUUCUUAACUACGACCUGAAGAACGCAUGUUGAUUUGGGUGUAAGAUGCUCUUAUACAUGUAAGGUCCUUUCACCACGUGAACUCCAAAUCAACAGGCAUAAUUUGGCGUCGGGCGUGUGACACUUUCUACCUCCUUGAGAAGAUCUACGAAGUCAGAGGAGUAAACAAGCAUUUCGUGCAGAUACAUUAUUCAAGUUUAAGUCAGAGGAGUUUAAAAAUCACAUUGCAACUUCUAUUGCUUUCCAGAAGACGUGACCUUUCGAGUAGUACGAUGGCUUUCAAACCCUUCGUUUAAGCAAAAGGACAUGAUAGCUUCAUAUUACUUUGACAACGGAUUGGAAAGUCAAUACCAAGAGACAAUUCUUCCAGAGUUAUGCUAUUUAACACCAUUUGUGUUAAAACAUUAAUAUAGGUGGUACUAGUGUGACACUAAAUAAGAGGUAAGAUUUAAUGAAUCACUUAAUUCUACUUUUUAUUGAGCUUGUCAAUUAGCGUAUCUAGAAUGGUGACAGAUAACAUUAUUCAUUAUUCGAAAUUGACAUUAGACCCUUAACAAGUCGGAAGGAAUUCAAGGAAAUUAUCAUAAACAACUGAGGGAUAAAAGAGACAUUAAAAAUAAGUACACAUUGCUUCAUGAAAGUUUGUAUUCUUUGGUUCAGUAGGUGCAUCUACAUGCAUGCUUUUACAUUUA